CUACGGGCGGCAGCAGUGGGGAAUCUUGCGCAAUGGGCGAAAGCCUGACGCAGCAACGCCGCGUGCGGGAUGAAGGCCUUCGGGUUGUAAACCGCUUUUACCAGGAAGGAAAAUGACAGUACCUGGAGAAUAAGGUGCGGCCAACUACGUGCCAGCAGCCGCGGUGACACGUAGGCACCAAGCGUUGUCCGGAUUUAUUGGGCGUAAAGAGCUCGUAGGCGGUUCAGUAAGUCGGGUGUGAAAACUCUGGGCUUAACCCAGAGACGCCACCCGAUACUGCUGUGACUUGAGUCCGGUAGGGGAGUGGGGAAUUCCUGGUGUAGCGGUGAAAUGCGCAGAUAUCAGGAGGAACACCAAUGGCGAAGGCACCACUCUGGGCCGAGACUGACGCUGAGGAGCGAAAGCGUGGGUAGCAAACAGGAUUAGAUACCCGCGUAGUC
rnacentral:rRNA from 1 species